AUGGCCUGGACUCUGUUGCUCCUCACCUCUCUGGCCUCCUGCACAGGGAGUUGGGCCCAGUUUGUGCUGAGUCAGACCCCAUCUGUGUCCCGGUCUCCAGGGGAAAAGGUCACCAUCUCUUGUACUCGCAGCAGUGGAAACAUAGGGGAUUACUAUGUGUCCUGGUACCAGCAGCGCUCUGGGAGUUCCCUCACAAACGUGAUCUAUGCAGACAAUAAAAGACCCUCUGGAGUUCCCGAUAGGUUUUCUGGGUCCAUUGAGAGUUCCUCCAACGCUGCACACCUGACCAUCACUGGGGUGCAGCCUGAGGACGAGGCAGACUAUUACUGUCUGUCCUAUGAUGAUAGCAGCAAUUGUCACCCAGUGCUCCAGACCCACAGGGAAGCUACUCUGACACCUAUGUAA